UUGAAGUUAUGAGAAUAAAAUCUUUGUUUCUGUCUUUACAGAGAAGGUCGAGUGAAGAACAUGUUUAUGAUUCUCAUGUUUCUCUACAGUGCCCCUCACUGAUGCUAUUCCAUCCGAACUUCAGUGUGUCAACAUGAAAGUUAAUCAGGUUUUGGACGUCAUGAAGUACCGUGGGCAUUUAUUUUCUGCUCAAGCACCAAACAAAGAUAUAUGCUUAGGUGACGAUGGUGGAGCAGCGAUGCACAACGGCAUGAUAUAUGGAGUGAUUGUUAUUGGUGGAGAACCUGUAUGUAUGAAGGACCCAGUUACAAUCAUGGAUGUGUGUGAAUACCAGGGGUGGAUAAAACAUAGACUAUCAUGAAAUAAAAUUCUCAUCAAAUUUCCUCUCGCAUAUAAUUGUAUCUUCAUCAGUUUGAUCCACAUGUUUGUAGAAUUAGAAUAAAUUGUUUUGUUUUCCUUCUCACCUGAUCUUCACCUCCCUAAUGGAGUUUUCUCUUCACCUCAGAAAUGAAAAAUAAAUUAAUAAAUGCAUGAAAAAG